ACGAACGCUGGCGGCGUGGAUAAGACAUGCAAGUCGAACGAGAGAAUUGCUAGCUUGCUAAUAAUUCUCUAGUGGCGCACGGGUGAGUAACACGUGAGUAACCUGCCCCCGAGAGCGGGAUAGCCCUGGGAAACUGGGAUUAAUACCGCAUAGAAUCUCAAGAUUAAAGCAGCAAUGCGCUUGGGGAUGGGCUCGCGGCCUAUUAGUUAGUUGGUGAGGUAACGGCUCACCAAGGCGAUGACGGGUAGCCGGUCUGAGAGGAUGUCCGGCCACACUGGAACUGAGACACGGUCCAGACACCUACGGGUGGCAGCAGUCGAGAAUCAUUCACAAUGGGGGAAACCCUGAUGGUGCGACGCCGCGUGGGGGAAUGAAGGUCUUCGGAUUGUAAACCCCUGUCAUGUGGGAGCAAAUUAAAAAGAUAGUACCACAAGAGGAAGAGACGGCUAACUCUGUGCCAGCAGCCGCGGUAAUACAGAGGUCUCAAGCGUUGUUCGGAAUCACUGGGCGUAAAGCGUGCGUAGGCUGUUUCGUAAGUCGUGUGUGAAAGGCGCGGGCUCAACCCGCGGACGGCACAUGAUACUGCGAGACUAGAGUAAUGGAGGGGGAACCGGAAUUCUCGGUGUAGCAGUGAAAUGCGUAGAUAUCGAGAGGAACACUCGUGGCGAAGGCGGGUUCCUGGACAUUAACUGACGCUGAGGCACGAAGGCCAGGGGAGCGAAAGGGAUUAGAUACCCCUGUAGUCCUGGCAGUAAACGGUGCACGCUUGGUGUGCGGGGAAUCGACCCCCUGCGUGCCGGAGCUAACGCGUUAAGCGUGCCGCCUGGGGAGUACGGUCGCAAGAUUAAAACUCAAAGAAAUUGACGGGGACCCGCACAAGCGGUGGAGUAUGUGGCUUAAUUCGAUGCAACGCGAAGAACCUUACCUGGGCUUGACAUGUAAUGAACAACAUGUGAAAGCAUGCGACUCUUCGGAGGCGUUACACAGGUGCUGCAUGGCCGUCGUCAGCUCGUGUCGUGAGAUGUUUGGUUAAGUCCAGCAACGAGCGCAACCCCUGUUGCCAGUUACCAGCACGUGAAGGUGGGGACUCUGGCGAGACUGCCCAGAUCAACUGGGAGGAAGGUGGGGACGACGUCAGGUCAGUAUGGCCCUUAUGCCCAGGGCUGCACACGUACUACAAUGCCCAGUACAGAGGGGGCCGAAGCCGCGAGGCGGAGGAAAUCCUAAAAACUGGGCCCAGUUCGGACUGUAGGCUGCAACCCGCCUACACGAAGCCGGAAUCGCUAGUAAUGGCGCAUCAGCUACGGCGCCGUGAAUACGUUCCCGGGUCUUGUACACACCGCCCGUCACAUCAUGGAAGCCGGUCGCACCCGAAGUAUCUGAAGCCAACCGCAAGGAGGCAGGGUCCUAAGGUGAGACUGGUAACUGGGAUG
rnacentral:rRNA from 1 species